UACGUAGGGUGUAAGCGUUAAUCGGAAUUACUGGGCGUAAAGCGUGCGCAGGCGGUUAUGCAAGUCAGAUGUGAAAUCCCCGGGCUUAACCUGGGAACCGCAUUUGUGACUGCAUAGCUGGAGUUCGGCAGAGGGGGAUGGAAUUCCGCGUGUAGCAGUGAAAUGCGUAGAUAUGCGGAGGAACACCGAUGGCGAAGGCAGUCCCCUGGGCAUGUACUGACGCUCAUGAACGAAAGCGUGGGGAGCAAACAGG
rnacentral:rRNA from 1 species